ACUCAAAAUCUUAAAGAUAUUAGGUGUAUGAGUCCUUGCGGCUAAUGUAUUACUCAACAUGUCCAUUUCUACUCAUACUUGCACUCCAAUACUAUGUUUCUUUCAAACUCAUGAAUCGUCACUGUUAGACCAGUCAGCUGAAUCCUCUUAUGAUCAAGAGCUGUAAUGCAUAUCAGUUUUGUUAUCAGUUUGAACCGUAUUUUCUUUGAAUUACCGUAACAGCCCUUCAUCAUAGGAGGAAUCAACUGGCUGGUCUAACAAUCACUCUAUGCAGUUUUAUGUUAAGAUUAGAUUUAUUCGUCCAAAAAUGAAAUCUGUUUGUUCCUUCCUCAAAAAACCUUAUUUUCCAUCCUUUUUUUAUGUUCUGGUGAUGUUUUCUUCCACAAAUAAGAGCAAAUUCUUAAUGAAAUUAAUGUUGCAGACUUGCAGUUAUAGUUACUUUUUUUAAAAAAAGCAUUCAUUUAUGGGAAUUUUGAUCUUUAGCAGUUGGAUCUAUGUUAGCUAAUUUUCCUUGACAAAUUUAUUGCUUGGUGAUCUUAUUUUUGCUGUUCCACCUAUGUGCAGUAUUACAAUUUUUUUCUUUCUAUUCAUUUAUAGCUGAUUUCAGGGAUUCAGUCAGUACCUUGGAGAAGGAGUUAUGCUGUCUUAAAGUGAAGCGGGAUGAGAUCGUUAGUAAAAUGGAUGAAAACCGGGAAAAUUUCACAACAGUAUGUCUAGAAUUUCAGAGAGAAAAAUAAUGUUUUGAAAAGUUCAGUGUUGGCAUUUGUGGAGGAGAUUCUUGAAGAUCUUCAUAGUUCGAACUCAGGAAGUAUUUUUUUUUAACCUCAGUCCUAUGAAUUUUCUAUGUUACUAUUAGUAUCAGACUUGAAUAGGGAAAAGGAUUUUAAAUUUUUCUUGUGAUCUGUGUAUCUCUAGUGGUAUGAGGCUUUUGUUGUUGUUGUUGCAUCUGUAUUUAUGUGAAUAGCUUGCGCUGUUUGGGAACAUUUCAUAGUCCUGUACUUUUAGGAAUUUAUUUUCUUCCACUAAACCAAACCAAGGACGACAUAUGUACGGAAGUUAAUACAUCUGCACACAUUUUGGUAUAUAAAAUAAAUUCUUAAAGUUAAUGAUUAACUAUUAGAUGUUAAUUAUUGGACAGUGAUGUUUUGCAACCUUUCCAAUCCCCUUCCCCAUGCCCCCUAUUGCAGCAUUAGAAGUUCAGAUACAGAGGAGGAACUGGGAGAAUGAACUGCUUUCAGCAAUUGGGACCAGCGAUGAUGUUCUAUAAGUUCCUUUACAAUUAACUGGAGUUUCAAGUCAAUUUAGUCAAGUUUGGUCAUUAGGGAUAUUUUACUUAGGUUUAGACAUGGAUAGAUAAAUAUGGAAAUUUGGAAAUGGAGCAGAGUAGAUGAUUAAAAAACUAAACAGCCAGCUUGUUGUUUUUUGUUCUGGCAAGUGAUAAGAACAAAACAAUAAUUUUGGUUUAUUACUAACUUGCAUCAUGAUAUGAUUGAUAUCUCAUAUUCUCCCAUAUGACUUCAUUGAAUUUAACUAGAUACAGAAUAUAUAUGAAGAAUAGCGACUAGCAAGUAAAAGGCCACUGAGCACAUUAGGAAAACUAAGUUAUGGUCGCAAAGUCCCAGGCGCCAGAUAGAGGCAGCAACUGCAUCAAGAGUUCAAGAGCAUGAAGCACGUGAUGUUGCUCCAAUGAAGUUGGCAGGUGUAAAGAACUGCAACUGGGUCCGUGAAAGAUAGUUUUCUUGUUGAAUUAUCUCCCUCGUGGAGUAUGAUCUUUACAGGCAAGAAACUCUUUGCGGUGAUGCAGCUUUUCACGUUUGGAUACAGUUGGCGCCUUAGGAUUAUGCUGCCUCACUGAUGAGGGCUUUGGCCACUAGCCACUAGCCAGAGAGGUGAUUGGUCAAACUGCAGACUUCACAAGCUUAUAGAUUUUGAAUUGGGAGUGUUUGACAUCGUUCGUACCUGAAAAGAGACUUCCUCAUAUCAUUUUCUAGCUCUCAGAAGGACAAAUGUGCUCAUUUGAGUUGCUCUUUUUGGGUAGGGGUCCGGCUCGUAGCCUUCACAAACUUGCUUAUUGACAUUACGCAAUAGUAUGUGAAAGUUCUGUCACCAUCCACUUUAGUUUGGGGCCCAUAAUUUCGUGCAUUGGUUCUGCUUGAGUAUAACAGUAAGAAACAAACUGGGGCUUUCGGGUUAUUAUUUCUGAAUAGGGUUAUUCAUAAAUGAUAAACUCAUUCAUCAAAUCAUGAAAUGGCCAACCUUUGAUGCAAAUGACGAGGUUUUACCAUUUCAACUGGUUUACCAUACUUACAUGUCUGCUCUUUUUUUAAUAUAUACUUCCGACUGAAUUUCCUCGGGCUGUAACUUUGAAAUAAGUUUUACUGUGUUGAGUAGUUACAAUGUCCUUUUCUAAUCUUACAACUACAAACAGUAAAAGUAAAAUGCAUUCAUUUAAAAUAUAGGCAGCUAGGACUUAGUUAUAUGCAGAACGAGGCCUAGAUCCAUCUAAAGGUUCUUGAAUUGUCAAUUUUGAUUUUGUCCUUUCAGCAUCAAAUGAGUGAGUGUCAGGUAGCGCUGCAAUUAUUUUAACUGCCAGGUGAAUUUGAUGUGGAAGGUUUGGAGGAUCUGCAUUACUUCAAUCUGCACAAUAAUUAAGAUUGCACGACUCUUUGCAUGUAGAAAACAAUUCGUUGGCAUAAUUGAUGCAGUUAGUAUUAUAUGUAACAAACUAAUAAUUUAAAACUAUAGGUCAGUGUGAUCAUUGAACUAAAAAAUAAAAACUAAUAACUCAUAAGAAUGGUAAUUAUUGUAUUGAAAUAAAAUAUGU